CACAGCCCACUCAAAUGAAGCUUCAAGGUUAGUGACCAGCAGAAGAGCGCAGCAGCUCUCUCUAGAACACGAAGUGAGUUUGUGGCAGAACUAGACCUUGGAUUCCAUCCAGCAACACUCAACAAGUCCCCUUUUCUGGGCUCAGUUGUGGGCAGGUUUCUGGGAUAAGACCCAGGCCCUGCACUCCAGGAACUCCCAAUCUCAACACAUGGACUAAAGGUAGUAACCGUGAGUCCAGAACAUGCAGGGUCAGGAGAGUCAUAGGGACCCAGAUUCCACCAGGUGGUAGCAGGGGCCUAAGACCAGAGGUAGGUUCCUAAGAGGCAGGCACUGGGACAGGGAAUUAUCUGGGCAGCUGGUGCCAGGGAGUGUUAGAGCUUGGGUGGGGGUGAGGGACAGCCAGUCCCAGGGCUAUAGUAGGAGCUGACGGUCACAUGGGUUUGAUAUCACGAAGCAGGAAACCAAGGUCUUUGCCAGGCACUUGCUGAAUGUGACCUUUUUGGCACAGCUAUGUAAUCUAUAAAGAACUGAGGAGCUACGCAAGCUAGCGACUGCCCAUCCUGGGACAGACACAUCAGGGAAGGUUGAAUGACUGUCUAUGUGGGACACCAACAAGGGCCUUCCCAUUGCGAGCUGCAUGGUGAUCACAACUCUGGGAAACUUGGACUGAUAGGUAAAAUAGUCAGGUUUGAGAGGAGGAGGAUUGUCAUCACAGGGACUUGGGGUCAGGUAAACCUGGGUUAGGUGUUUGGUUCCUCUUCCGCCUGGCUUUGGGUUCCUGACCAAGUUCUGAAAUCUCUUUUCAACUGAGUUCCCUUGUCCUUAAAAGGCAAAUGAUGACUUUUUGCAGGGUUGUGGUGGGAAUUAAAUGGGAAUGUUUACGUAAACCGUGCUGGCCCACCAAUGUGAGCUUCCUUUGUAUGUGCAUGUGUUUUCCUUCAGUUUCCCUUCAUUUUGUUUUCAUUUUAUUUGUAAAUGUAAAAAACAAAACACAAAAAGAGGAAUUCCCAUGGGAGGGUGUUGAGCUCAACUCUAGUCCCAGUUUUACCCCUGACUCAUCGCAAAGACCCGGGAAGUCCCAGACCUCCUUCCACCUUCGUUUCCUCAUCUGGAACACAGGGACUUCCACCAGGGAGUUUCUUCAAAGCCCAACCUGAAGGCUUGAGAUGCUACCCCUUUGAGAGUCCCUUCUGUGUUGAGGACCCCCCAGGCUGAGCGGAGGAAAGGAGUGGAGAUGGGGGUCAGGCAGUGACCAGGGGAAGGAGAUGGGAGUUGUAGGGGAGGGACAGCAGCACGAGGAGGCGACAGCUCUUCAACCCCAUUGCCCUGGCCCAUGAAACGGGCAGGCCCCACUCAGCUUGGGAAGCCUGCCACCUAUUUUCCCACAGCCUGCCCAGUUAAUGCCAAAACAAAACACACUUGUCUGCUCCCUGCUGGAGGGCAGUGAGCCAAAAUGAGUGUCCUGGAGGCCUGGCAGAUGCCCUGGCAUCUUGCCUCUCCUCCCUGGGCACCCACCCUUCCCCUGUCUGCAACAUAUCCACACACCCGUGGCCUGUGGCCUGUGGCCUGUGGCCUGUGGGAGCUGAGCUCCACCCUCAGCCAAAACUGGCCCAGGCUGCAGAGAGGAGCUUCCUCAGGACCUGUCCUCCCCCGUCUCAUUUUCAGGGCUCCUAAGUGGACAUGCCAACACCUAAACCUGCCUGUCUUUCCAGUCCAGCUUUGGCCCUGAGAUGUGAUCUAAUUCUCACCAUGCUGCUGUGGGCAGAGGACGUGGCAUCAGAAGCUGGGAGCUGCUGUCAGUCGCUACGGGAGGGAAUUCCCUGGCUCAGGAAAGCUCUUCCAGAGGAAGGGAGCAGGUGGUGCGUCUCCCCGAAGAGACAGACACCGCCAACGCUGUAGGCAGAGCCAGUCCUGGGAUCUCUGGAGGAGAUCUUCUUUGUCACUGUAUCCCCAGCACCUAGGACAAGGCACACUGAAUGGCUGGAUUUGAAAGCCUGAAGUCCCAAAAGUUUACAGCCACGGAACAUUAAGUGUGGGCAGCCAGAACACUUGUGGGCAGAGUCUGAUGAGACAGAGGCACCUGCAUCAAGGUAGCAUUGACUGGCAUGGAGAACCAAGAUCACUGAAUUAAACACGCCUCAAGACAGAGCAUGGUUGCACCCCAGCUUCGGCAAGGUCAUCAAGGCAUCCCCGGUACAGCUGUGGAAAGAGCCAAAGACCAGCCAUACCCCUCUCAGAUCCCGUGAACUGGCCUUGUGUGGAGGAGGUGGAGCCCGUGAAGCACUCAGCACAGGGCCAAGCCCGUAACUACUGCCCAGGGGAGGUAAGUAGUCUUAGCCCUUCCCAUACCUGGAUAAGUUGGAAUGUGCCUGCCUUCUCCUCGUGACCUCCCACAGCCCCCGUCUUAGAGGUGGGGUGAGUUGUUCAGCCGCUUAAUCGAGUCUUUCCAUGGGGCUGAGAACCCCAGCCCUGAGUUCUUUGUAUCUUUGGUCCGAGCAGGCUAUACCUCACCUCCUGCCACGUGUGUGGACAGCCUGAGAUGACUCUGUGCUGGACUCUGACCCGAUUAAUGUUACUGAAUCCUUACAUCGGUCUGGGAGGAUAGGGAUCACUGUCCCCAUUUUACAGAGGGGGAAGCUGAGGCUUGGAGAGGCUGCUGUCUGCUCUCAGAACAGCCUCCUGAGACAGAUAAGACAAACAGGGCCAAUAACUCUGGGUAAGCAGAAAAAAAUGGGGGGGGGGGCGCUUGCUGGAGAACUUGCAGAGGAAGCUCACUUUUGCUUCCCUUAGAGGACUUUCGAGCCAGGAAGGUUUUCAGGGAGAAGAGGAUGAAGAGAGCAUCCAAGAGGUAGAAACAGUGAGAGGCUGGGCACUGAGAUGGGAUUCCCUGAAGUCUAGCAGUUCUCAGGCAGUCUUUCUGCCUGGGCUAAAGCCCAGGAUCCAAGCAGACAGUGGGUUGGGACCAUAAGCAGAGGGAUUGGUGGGACACCAUAGGGCUUUUUACAUCCCUGUCUCUGGGCUGGAUCCUGCCUGAGGCUAACAUUCACAUUCCCUCAUCUGUAGCUAAGGACCUCUUUGUUUCUGUUGGAAGGAGAUCUCUGCUAGGGCAUUUAUGGGUCACUGCUGGGAGGACCCAAAAUAGGGCAUAGAUGGGAGAAACAAUUUAGUAUCUAUUUUGUGCAAAGCCCUAAAAUGGGGAUCAAAGGGACUCAGUCGCCUUGUCCUAGGAACACUGUGAGGAUCAAAGGGACUCAGUCGCCUUGUCCUAGGAACACUUGGGCUGGGGAGCAUACUGACUGCCACAAACAGGUGAUGAGCUAGUCCAUGAGAAACAGGGCCCAGGACUGUGGGUGCUCAGAGAAAGCGCCCAGCUUCUGGGGGUGGAGGUUCUCCCUGGCCAGACUGGGCCAACCUGGUAGCUAGGUAACCAACAGAAUCAGCAGUCCUAGUAGGAAGGAGAACCCCCAGUUCUUUGACUGCCUCUCCAGGGGGAGAAUCAGAUCCAGGAAGAAGUGGGGCCCCUCCAAAGGCCCAGCAGGGUAAACCAGGCCUCCCCAUGUGAACACCUUCCCACAGCGGGGUGGGAUCUGGGCAUGGCCCCGUGAACAGGGUCUGUUGAACAGGGGCUUGGCUUCCAGAAGGUGUGAUGGCGUCUCACUGUUCUACAUGACCUCUAUAGCUCAUACAGUAGGUGUGAUGCUCUGAACUUACCAUUUGCCAGCUGUCUGGCACCAGACCAACCCAGAGACCUAUUCUCCCCUCUCCUACUAAGGUACAUGGGGCCAGGACCUCUCUCAAGUGCUCUGGCCACUUCUCCGAGGGUGUGCACAGUGCUGAAGUCCCCUGGGCCUAGAACCCAACUCAAAACUUGCAUUUUGCUGCAGAGCCUCUGAGAAAGGGUUGCAUCUAUGAUGGUGAGAAUACAGGCAGUGUGCUCUCACCAUCAUAGAUGCAACCCCGAUCCAACUCAUAAGUGU